GAUGAACGCUGGCGGCGUGCCUAAUACAUGCAAGUCGAGCGAACAGACGAGGAGCUUGCUCCUCUGACGUUAGCGGCGGACGGGUGAGUAACACGUGGAUAACCUACCUAUAAGACUGGGAUAACUUCGGGAAACCGGAGCUAAUACCGGAUAAUAUAUUGAACCGCAUGGUUCAAUAGUGAAAGACGGUUUUGCUGUCACUUAUAGAUGGAUCCGCGCCGCAUUAGCUAGUUGGUAAGGUAACGGCUUACCAAGGCAACGAUGCGUAGCCGACCUGAGAGGGUGAUCGGCCACACUGGACCUGAGACACGGUCCAGACUCCUACGGUAGGCAGCAGUAGGGAAUCUUCCGCAAUGGGCGAAAGCCUGACGGAGCAACGCCGCGUGAGUGAUGAAGGUCUUCGGAUCGUAAAACUCUGUUAUUAGGGAAGAACAAAUGUGUAAGUAACUAUGCACGUCUUGACGGUACCUAAUCAGAAAGCCACGGCUAACUACGUG
rnacentral:rRNA from 1 species